rnacentral:rRNA from 1 species
GAUGAACGCUGGCGGCGUGCCUAACACAUGCAAGUCGAGCGAUUCUCUUCGGAGAAGAGCGGCGGACGGGUGAGUAACGCGUGGGUAACCUACCCUGUACACACGGAUAACAUACCGAAAGGUAUGCUAAUACGAGAUAAUAUGCUUUUAUCGCAUGGUAGAAGUAUCAAAGCUCCGGCGGUACAGGAUGGACCCGCGUCUGAUUAGCUAGUUGGUAAGGUAACGGCUUACCAAGGCGACGAUCAGUAGCCGACCUGAGAGGGUGAUCGGCCACAUUGGAACUGAGACACGGUCCAAACUCCUACGGGAGGCAGCAGUGGGGAAUAUUGCACAAUGGGCGAAAGCCUGAUGCAGCAACGCCGCGUGAGCGAUGAAGGCCUUCGGGUCGUAAAGCUCUGUCCUCAAGGAAGAUAAUGACGGUACUUGAGGAGGAAGCCCCGGCUAACUACGUGCCAGCAGCCGCGGUAAUACGUAGGGGGCUAGCGUUAUCCGGAAUUACUGGGCGUAAAGGGUGCGUAGGUGGUUUCUUAAGUCAGAGGUGAAAGGCUACGGCUCAACCGUAGUAAGCCUUUGAAACUGGGAAACUUGAGUGCAGGAGAGGAGAGUGGAAUUCCUAGUGUAGCGGUGAAAUGCGUAGAUAUUAGGAGGAACACCAGUUGCGAAGGCGGCUCUCUGGACUGUAACUGACACUGAGGCACGAAAGCGUGGGG